UGGGCGCGUAGCUCAGCUGGAUAGAGCAAUUGCCUUCUAAGCAAUUGGUCGCAGGUUCGAGUCCUGCCGCGCUCGU
rnacentral:tRNA from 1 species